rnacentral:rRNA from 1 species
AGAGUUUGAUCCUGGCUCAGAAUCAACGCUGGCGGCGCGCUUAACACAUGCAAGUCGCACGAGAAAGGGGCAACCUGAGUAAAGUGGCGUACGGGUGAGUAACACGUGGAUCAUAUACCUUUUAGUGGGGAAUAACUUUGGGAAACCGAAGCUAAUACCGCAUAAGCCCGAGAGGGGAAAGCAGCAAUGCGCUGAAAGAGUAGUCCGCGGCUGAUUAGCUAGUUGGUGAGGUAAUGGCUCACCAAGGCUUUGAUCGGUAGCCGGCCUGAGAGGGCUCACGGCCACACUGGCACUGAAACACGGGCCAGACUCCUACGGGAGGCAGCAGUGGGGAAUCUUGCACAAUGGGGGAAACCCUGAUGCAGCGACGCCGCGUGAGUGAUGAAGCCCUUCGGGGUGUAAAGCUCUUUCGACGGGAACGAUAAUGACGGUACCCGGAGAAGAAGCUGCGGCUAACUACGUGCCAGCAGCCGCGGUAAUACGUAGGCAGCAAGCGUUGUUCGGAAUUACUGGGCGUAAAGCGAGUGUAGGCGGUUCGAUAAGUUUGGUGUGAAAUCUCCCGGCUCAACUGGGAGGGUGCGCCGAAGACUGUCGAGCUAGAGUGUGGGAGAGGUAGGCGGAAUUCCUGGUGUAGCGGUGAAAUGCGUAGAUAUCAGGAGGAACACCUGCGGUGUAGACGGCUUACUGGACCACGACUGACGCUGCAACUCGAAAGUGUGGGGAGCAAACAGGAUUAGAUACCCUAGUAGUCC